rnacentral:rRNA from 1 species
AAAGCGUUUGUAGGUGGCCUAGAAAGUCUACUGUCAAAUAUCAAGGCUUAACCUUGAGCAGGCAGUGGAGUACUCCUAGGCUUGAGUGUGGUAGAGGUAGAGGGAAUUCCAUGUGGAGCGGUGAAAUGCGUAGAGAUAUGGAGGAACACCAGCGGCGAAGGCGCUCUACUGGGCCAAGACUGACACUGAGGAGCGAAAGCGUGGGGAGCGAACAGGAUUAGAUACCCUGU